rnacentral:rRNA from 1 species
CUACGGGGUGCUGCAGUGGGGAAUCUUAGACAAUGGGCGCAAGCCUGAUCUAGCCAUGCCGCGUGAGUGAUGAAGGCCUUAGGGUCGUAAAGCUCUUUCGCUGGGGAAGAUAAUGACGGUACCCAGUAAAGAAACCCCGGCUAACUCCGUGCCAGCAGCCGCGGUAAUACGGAAGGGGUUAGCGUUGUUCGGAAUUACUGGGCGUAAAGCGCGCGUAGGCGGACUGUUAAGUCGGGGGUGAAAUCCCGGGGCUCAACCCCGGAACGGCCUUCGAUACUGGCAGUCUGGAGUUCGAGAGAGGUGAGUGGAAUUCCGAGUGUAGAGGUGAAAUUCGUAGAUAUUCGGAGGAACACCAGUGGCGAAGGCGGCUCACUGGCUCGAUACUGACGCUGAGGUGCGAAAGUGUGGGGAGCAAACAGGAUUAGAUACCCUAGUAGUC